rnacentral:rRNA from 1 species
GACGAACGCUGGCGGCGUGCUUAACACAUGCAAGUCGAACAGAAAGGCCCUGCUUUGUGGGGUGCUCGAGUGGCGAACGGGUGAGUAACACGUGAGUAACCUGCCCUUGACUUUGGGAUAACUUCAGGAAACUGGGGCUAAUACCGGAUAGGAGCUCCUGCUGCAUGGUGGGGGUUGGAAAGUUUCGGCGGUUGGGGAUGGACUCGCGGCUUAUCAGCUUGUUGGUGGGGUAGUGGCUUACCAAGGCUUUGACGGGUAGCCGGCCUGAGAGGGUGACCGGCCACAUUGGGACUGAGAUACGGCCCAGACUCCUACGGGAGGCAGCAGUGGGGAAUAUUGCACAAUGGGCGGAAGCCUGAUGCAGCAACGCCGCGUGCGGGAUGACGGCCUUCGGGUUGUAAACCGCUUUCGCCUGUGACGAAGCGUGAGUGACGGUAAUGGGUAAAGAAGCACCGGCUAACUACGUG